rnacentral:rRNA from 1 species
AGAGUUUGAUCAUGGCUCAGGAUGAACGCUGGCGGCGUGCCUAACACAUGCAAGUCGAGCGAUCUUCUUCGGAAGAGAGCGGCGGACGGGUGAGUAACGCGUGGGUAACCUGCCUCAUACACAUGGAUAACAUACCGAAAGGUAUGCUAAUACAAGAUGAUAUAAGAGAUUCGCAUGGAUUUCUUAUCAAAGCUCCGGCGGUAUGAGAUGGACCCGCGUCUGAUUAGCUAGUUGGUAAGGCAACGGCUUACCAAGGCGACGAUCAGUAGCCGACCUGAGAGGGUGAUCGGCCACAUUGGAACUGAGACACGGUCCAAACUCCUACGGGAGGCAGCAGUGGGGAAUAUUGCACAAUGGGCGAAAGCCUGAUGCAGCAACGCCGCGUGAGCGAUGAAGGCCUUCGGGUCGUAAAGCUCUGUCCUCAAGGAAGAUAAUGACGGUACUUGAGGAGGAAGCCCCGGCUAACUACGUGCCAGCAGCCGCGGUAAUACGUAGGGGGCUAGCGUUAUCCGGAUUUACUGGGCGUAAAGGGUGCGUAGGUGGUUUCUUAAGUCAGGAGUGAAAGGCUACGGCUCAACCGUAGUAAGCUCUUGAAACUGGGAAACUUGAGUGCAGGAGAGGAAAGUGGAAUUCCUAGUGUAGCGGUGAAAUGCGUAGAUAUUAGGAGGAACACCAGUAGCGAAGGCGGCUUUCUGGACUGUAACUGACACUGGGGCACGAAAGCGUGGGGAGCAAACAGGAUUAGAUACCCUGGUAGUCCACGCCGUAAACGAUGAGUACUAGGUGUCGGGGGUUACCCCCCUCGGUGCCGUAGCU